CAUGAAUGACACAGUAACUAUCUGAACUAGAAAGUUCGUGACCAACCAACUACUUCAGAGGAAACAAAUGAUGAUUGAUGUCCUUCAUACCUGGAAGGCAACAGUACCUAAGACAGAAAUUUGGGAAAAACUAGCCAAAAUGUACAAGACCACACUGGAUGUCAUCUUUGUGUUUGGAUUAGAACUCAUUUUGGCGGUGGCAAGACAACUGGCUUUGGCAUGAUUUAUGAUUCCUUGGAUUAUGCAAAGAAAAAUGGACCCAAACAUAGACUUGCAAGACAAGGCCUGUAUGAGAAAAAAAGACCUCAAGAAAGCAAUGAAAGGAAGGCAAGAACAGAAUGAAGAAAGUCAGGGGACUGUAAAGGCCAAUGUUUGUGUGGGCAAAAAGCCGAAGGAG
rnacentral:lncRNA from 10 species